CUUGCUCCUUGAUUCAGCGGCGGACGGGUGAGUAAUGCCUAGGAAUCUGCCUGGUAGUGGGGGACAACGUUUCGAAAGGAACGCUAAUACCGCAUACGUCCUACGGGAGAAAGCAGGGGACCUUCGGGCCUUGCGCUAUCAGAUGAGCCUAGGUCGGAUUAGCUUGUUGGUGAGGUAAUGGCUCACCAAGGCGACGAUCCGUAACUGGUCUGAGAGGAUGAUCAGUCACACUGGAACUGAGACACGGUCCAGACUCCUACGGGAGGCAGCAGUGGGGAAUAUUGGACAAUGGGCGAAAGCCUGAUCCAGCCAUGCCGCGUGUGUGAAGAAGGUCUUCGGAUUGUAAAGCACUUUAAGUUGGGAGGAAGGGCAGUAAGUUAAUACCUUGCUGUUUUGACGUUACCGACAGAAUAAGCACCGGCUAACUCUGUGCCAGCAGCCGCGGUAAUACAGAGGGUGCAAGCGUUAAUCGGAAUUACUGGGCGUAAAGCGCGCGUAGGUGGUUUGUUAAGUUGGAUGUGAAAGCCCCGGG
rnacentral:rRNA from 1 species